GGGACUGAGCAGCAUGUAGCCAGCCCAGGAUUAGGGGAGCACAACAGUAGCUGACAGCCACCUUUGCUACCUGCACUUCAACAGAGGAUCUUAGCCUGUCUAUUUUGCUAUGGAAAAAAGACAGGUGUCACAGGACUCUUUGCUGCAACAACAGUAAUGGCUACCAUAGCCCAGAGACACCAUUUCUCAGCAUAGACCUCUACAGGAUUCGACCCAGGAAGCCUGGAGAGGAAGACACAGUCUCUAGCACCAGUGAGGAGUCACCUUGGGUGGAAGCACCAGCUGUCACAAAAAAGAGCCCAGGAUGCAACCUAUGCAAGGAUAGGGGAGAACCUCUCCAAACAGCAGUCACCAGGGAGGAGGCUUGAGCCACACCUUGUGGGAGGGGCUAUGCUUAGUUGAUAUUUUUAA